UACGUAGGGUGCGAGCGUUGUCCGGAAUUAUUGGGCGUAAAGGGCUCGUAGGCGGUUUGUCGCGUCGGGAGUGAAAUCCACUGGCUUAACUGGUGGCUUGCUUUCGAUACGGGCAGACUGGAGGUAUGCAGGGGAGAACGGAAUUCCUGGCGUAGCGGUGAAAUGCGCAGAUAUCAGGAGGAACACCGGUGGCGAAGGCGGUUCUCUGGGCCUGUACUGACGCUGAGGAGCGAAAGCAUGGGGAGCGAACAGG
rnacentral:rRNA from 1 species